GCCAGUGUGGUGUAGUGGUUUGAGUGUUGGACUAUGAUUCUGGAGAUCAGGGUUUGAUUCCCCACUUAGCCA
rnacentral:tRNA from 1 species